rnacentral:rRNA from 1 species
CCUACGGGUGGCUGCAGUGGGGAAUAUUGGACAAUGGGGGCAACCCUGAUCCAGCCAUGCCGCGUGUGUGAAGAAGGCCCUCGGGUUGUAAAGCACUUUCAGUGAGGAAGAACGCCUGGUGGUUAAUACCCAUCAGGAAAGACAUCACUCACAGAAGAAGCACCGGCUAACUCCGUGCCAACAGCCGCGGUAAUACGGAGGGUGCGAGCGUUAAUCGGAAUUACUGGGCGUAAAGCGCGCGUAGGUGGCUUGAUAAGCCGGUUGUGAAAGCCCCGGGCUCAACCUGGGAACGGCAUCCGGAACUGUCAAGCUAGAGUGCAGGAGAGGAAGGUAGAAUUCCCGGUGUAGCGGUGAAAUGCGUAGAGAUCGGGAGGAAUACCAGUGGCGAAGGCGACCUUCUGGACUGACACUGACACUGAGGUGCGAAAGCGUGGGUAGCAAACAGGAUUAGAUACCCUAGUAGUC